GACGAACGCUGGCGGCGUGCUUAACACAUGCAAGUCGAACGGAAAGGCCCUGCUUUUGUGGGGUGCUCGAGUGGCGAACGGGUGAGUAACACGUGAGUAACCUGCCCUUGACUUUGGGAUAACUUCAGGAAACUGGGGCUAAUACCGGAUAGGAGCUCCUGCUGCAUGGGGGGGGUUGGAAAGUUUCGGCGGUUGGGGAUGGACUCGCGGCUUAUCAGCUUGUUGGUGGGGUAGUGGCUUACCAAGGCUUUGACGGGUAGCCGGCCUGAGAGGGUGACCGGCGACAUUGGGACUGAGAUACGGCCCAGACUCCUACGGGAGGCAGCAGUGGGGAAUAUUGCAGAAUGGGCGGAAGCCUGAUGCAGCAACGCCGCGUGCGGGAUGACGGCCUUCGGGUUGUAAACCGCUUUCGCCUGUGACGAAGCGUGAGUGACGGUAAUGGGUAAAGAAGCACCGGCUAACUACGUG
rnacentral:rRNA from 1 species